UGCCACAGCCAUAUCACUCUGCAGCCCAAGACCGGUUACUCACUGAAGGUAGGCAGGGCUGAGCCUGGUCAGUACCUGGAUGGGAGACCACAUGGGAAAACUAGGUUCCUGUUGGAA
rfam:Danio rerio chromosome 7, GRCz11 reference primary assembly.